rnacentral:rRNA from 1 species
CGUGAGUAACACGUAGGAACGUACCCCAAAGUGAGGGAUAAGCACCAGAAAUGGUGUCUAAUACCGCAUGUGGCCUCCGGGCUAAAGCUUUAUGCGCUUUGGGAACGGCCUGCGCAUGAUUAGCUUGUUGGUGAGGUAAUAGCUCACCAAGGCGACGAUCAUUAGCUGGUCUGAGAGGAUGACCAGCCAGACUGGGACUGAGACACGGCCCAG